GGAAGUAAAAUCGUAACAAGGUUUCCGUAGGUGAACCUGCGGAAGGAUCAUUAUCGAGUUAGGGUCUCUGGCCCGACCUCCAACCCUGUGUCUACUAUACCAUGUUGCUUUGGCGGGCCCGCGUUCGUCGCCGCCGAGGGGUUGACCCCCCUGGGCCAGUGCCCGCCGAUAGCCCCCUCUUAAACUCUUGAUCAACCGUGAAUGUCUGAGUAAAAAAAGAAUCAAGCACAAAACUUUCAACAACGGAUCUCUUGGUUCUG
rnacentral:misc_RNA from 1 species